UCCCUGGCGGUCCAGUGGUUAGGACUCUGCACUUAAACUGCAGAGGGCCCGGGUUCGAGCCCUGGUCAGGGAA